AGAGGAAGUAAAAGUCGUAACAAGGUCUCCGUAGGUGAACCUGCGGAGGGAUCAUUACAGAGUUCAUGCCCUCCGGGUAGAUCUCCCACCCAUUGCUAUAACUACUCUCGUUGCUUUGGCGGGCCGCUGGGCCCUGCCCGGCCGCCGGCCCCGGCUGGCGCGUGCCCGCCAGAGACCUCACAGACUCUGAAUGUUAGUGUCGUCCGAGUAACUAUAUAAUCGUUAAAACUUUCAACAACGGAUCUCUUGGUUCUGGCAUCGAUGAAGAACGCAGCGAAAUGCGAUAAGUAAUGCGAAUUGCAGAAUUCAGUGAGUCAUCGAAUCUUUGAACGCACAUUGCGCCCUGUGGUAUUCCGCAGGGCAUGCCUGUUCGAGCGUCAUUUCAACCCUCAAGCCUCGCUUGGUGUUGGGCCCUGCCCGCCGCGGCCGGCCCUAAAGACAGUGGCGGCGCCGCCUGGCCCUCAGCGUAGUACAUCUCUCGCUCCAGGGUCCGGCGGCAGCCUGCCAGAACCCCCCCAACUCUGUGGUUGACCUCGGAUCAGGUAGGGAUACCCGCUGAACUUAAGCAUAUCAAUAAG
rnacentral:rRNA from 1 species